GUAGGGAAUCUUCCGCAAUGGGCGAAAGCCUGACGGAGCAACGCCGCGUGAGUGAUGAAGGUCUUCGGAUCGUAAAACUCUGUUAUUAGGGAAGAACAAAUGUGUAAGUAACUAUGCACGUCUUGACGGUACCUAAUCAGAAAGCCACGGCUAACUACGUGCCAGCAGCCGCGGUAAUACGUAGGUGGCAAGCGUUAUCCGGAAUUAUUGGGCGUAAAGCGCGCGUAGGCGGUUUUUUAAGUCUGAUGUGAAAGCCCACGGCUCAACCGUGGAGGGUCAUUGGAAACUGGAAAACUUGAGUGCAGAAGAGGAAAGUGGAAUUCCAUGUGUAGCGGUGAAAUGCGCAGAGAUAUGGAGGAACACCAGUGGCGGAGGCGACUUUCUGGUCUGUAACUGACGCUGAUGUGCGAAAGCGUGGGGAUCAAACAGGAUUAGAUACCCUGGUAGUCCACGCCGUAAACGAUGAGUGCUAAGUGUUAGGGGGUUUCCGCCCCUUAGUGCUGCAGCUAACGCAUUAAGCACUCCGCCUGGGGAGUACGACCGCAAGGUUG
rnacentral:rRNA from 1 species